UUCACACGCAUACUCUUACUCUUCCCCGAUACCCUAUCCCUCUCGUCCUUCACCUCACCCCUCUCUCUCUCUCUCUCUCUCUCUCUCUCUCUCUCUAUCUUUCUCUCACCGUCGAAGAAAGGCAAAGAGGAUGGUGGCUGCGGUGAGUCCACCCCGGUGGUCGGAGAUCGAUGACGGAGGAGAGAGAGUCUUCCAGAUCUACUUUCUCUCGUCUGUGCUUUUGUCUAUCUCAUCGGUGAGUCCUCCAGUUUCUGGGUUUCGUUGUGGUUUCUUUAAUACGGUGGUCGAUCUUGGUGGUUCUGUAGGGGAGAAUAAAUCAAGAACUGUGGAGGAACGAUGAUAUGGGCGGCUAUUUCUACUCUUACUCCUUAAUAGACCAAACCAAACCAUCUUCCUUGCUCGUCAAAAUGAGGGUUGGCCGUCGGCGGGAGAUCAAGCUCAGAAAUUGGUUCGUCUUUCAUUUCAUAUCUUACAUUCAAAUGGGUUCUCUUGCCAUAUGUAUUCCUUUCGUUUUUCUCUUUGAUUUAUGUACCAUUGUCAAUCCAAGUUUAGCUCAUACUACUUGCUCAAGCUAGUUUUCUAUGUACUUGGAUGGAACAAAUCUUACGAACCUAGCUCUGCUGCUCUUUAUGGUUCUAAAAAUUUCAGCUUGUUGAAGUAAUAAAAUUGCUAAACCAUACAGAUUGUUAUUGUUGGUGGGAAAUCUAAAACAACUUUUUGCAUUGUUGUCAAGUGCUUAUAGUAUCAUGCUGUCAUUUUUAAUUUUGAUGGGCGUGUGGUAUAAUUGUAGUCUUCAAGUGGGGAGAUUUACUUUGUGGAUUUUAUUGUGCUGUGUUUAUGUAGCUUUGUUGUUAUAUUUUGUUUCUUGGUGGCUACAGGCCCGAGGACUGAAGAAUCAUUUUACAUAUGCUGAUGGCUUUGUUCUUCAUUCCCUUCUUGAUCUUUUAUAUAUUCAAGGUUUGCAGCUUUUCCAAAGUGACCAGUGUUUGCUCUCCUUGACCAUUACUUCUUGCUUUUCAAUAAGUAAUCUUGAAGGAUCAGUAAUUCCUACAAACUAGUAGGAGCUAUUGCUAAUUGAUUAUGUACUUUCCUUGGUCUUUAAUUUACAUUGUUACAAAACUAGCUCUUGAUUUUUGAUUGCUGGAAAUUUUAAGGUGCACAUGAGAAACCAUAUUGGUAGUCUUGCUCUCCUUCUAAAGUUUUGGUUGCUUCAACAAAGCUACAUAUAUAUUAAUGAUGUUUAUAUCAUGGCAGCUUUGUUAUCGAAAUAUGAUUUUCUUUCUUUACGUGCAUGCUGUAAGAUUACUAUAUCAGCCCCACUUCCAAUCAACAGAUUUUUAAUCACCCUUCUUUUGUUCUUACUCCCCAAUCCUCUUACGUUCCAACUGAGAAUCUUCAUUUAAACGUCUUGGAUUCUCCCAUCUCAGCUAUGACAUUCAACUGCAUAUUUGUCCAAUCCUUGUUGGCUUUUUUAUCAAGGCUGUUCUUACUCUUCUGUUUUUUCCUUGCAUACACUUUCAGCUUCAUAGGUGCUAGAAACUUCCCAAUUUUACCCAUUUUUUGCAGGCCAGUGACCUUUUUUUGAGUCUGGAGAGAGCUCUCGUUAGUUGAGUUUGUCCCCUCUUUUCUCUUGGGUUGCUUGUUUGAAGAUUGGACUUGUUUCCUUACUCGAUUAACGUCUCCAUUUUUCCCAGCUGCAGCUGCUCCAACCUUUUUUGACUCCUUUAUAAGAAAAUAAUUAUUCCCAUUUUCCACCUUUCCUUCAUCUUCUUGAAUUGCUGCUAGGUUCUUAGUGAAUGCUUUGGCAAGAAAGUGCUGUUUUGAUACCGGAUGAUACAGAAAAUGCAUGGAUAAAGCACAAGGACAAUCUAAUUUUGAUGGAAAUAUAUCAUUUUUUUAGAUCUAGUUGUUCCCAAUUUGGGUUCACUUGUGAGUCUCUUUCAGAGUUGAAGAGUGAUGAGAGUGAGCCUGAAGGAGCUCUUGCAAAUGUUCUUGACCUUCUGAAGCGAAUCCACAAGAUUUUCUUUUAUGAAUUGGGAGGCAAUCUUUUAUAUAGAGACGUAAGGCAGGUUCUGAAAACUGUUAGGAAGGAAGUCUUGAAGGGGUGCAAAGUUGUGUUCAGCCGUAUAAUUCCUUCAAAAGUCCAGGCUGAUAAUCAUCACCCGUGGAAGAUGGCAGAGCAGCAAAUUAUAUGUGGCGAAAGCAACCUGAAGACAAGUUUCCUGUCAGUGAAAUGAAAUCGAAAACCCAAAGCCAGUUUGGCAUAAAUCUUUAUAUUAAUGCACCAAGGUGUUUCUUCUUCGAUGCUGAUAUUUUUGUGUUUCUUCAUUUAGUGGGGAAGAAGUCUUCUAUUUUAGGGUGUGCUUCUCUCCCUAUAUUUCAACUUCUGCAAAAAGCCUUCUACAGGAUUUUAAAUUUCAUUUUGUUUUCAUUUCAUUUCGAUUGGAGUGUCUCUAUCUCUAGCUCUUUGGUAUCAUGUUGCUUUCAUAGUCGACUUGAUAUUUUAUCUUAAGAGGUUAAGGGCUGGGUUAAAGGGUAUUCUGUGAUUUCUAUCUACACUCAUCAAUUGGUUAAUCCAAUUUGUAAGGGAAGGUUCAUAACAGUCUUUGUAAUAACAAUUUUUUUUUUUAAUCAAUGGUAGGUUUUUCGUAAUCACAAUUUCAACCGGCUCAAUUAUUUUAACCGGCUCAAUUAUUUUAGAACAUUUUUCUCCCUCAAAUUUGAUUAUUUCAGUCCCAAGUUACCUACCCUGUAAUUUUUGUUAAUAACUCGUGUGUGUGCAUAUUAUAUUUACUGUUUUUCUAUUUGGGUCUGAACUUUGCAGAAACAAAGGUGCUUUCAAGUUACAUCAUUAAUUAGCAAAUCUCAUCUGAUGUAGAAAGUCAUCAUAAUUCCUUCAUUUUCAUGUCCAUGUAAAAAAGGAUUUCUAUUUUAGGGAUAAUAAAAUUUUAUUUUGUCGAUUCUAUUGGUGCUUAAUAACCAGAAAUCCCACACACUAGAAAUUUAUUAGUUACAUUGGUGUACACAGUAUAGUCUUAAAUGUUGACAUAUAUUUUCCCAGUCCACAUUGUUGGACAUCUGUUAUAGUCUGAUAUGGUUCAAGUCAUUCAUUGUGCCAUGAAUGUAGCACAAACCUAUUUUUGCUAAUCAGAAUCUUUGAUAGGCAUUCAAACCUAUUUUUGCUAAUCUGAAUAUUACCGGUUUCCAGGACUUCCCUUUGGGUGACUUGCCUAUGCUAUAGGUUUAUAUUCGUAAAUGUUUAACCUAAAGUUUUCAAUUUCUACUGGAGAUGGCAUUAGAGAUUUUACCGAUGCAACUGGCAGGUAAUUGUCAUGGAUGCUCUAAUUUGUUUGACCAGUUUUGGUUUACAUGUUUGCAACUAUCUAUCAUUGUAAUUCUCCAGGUGAUAAUUAUAUAGCUUGAUUAGCUUCCACUCAAAAUUUUUAUGACCAGUCAAAUGUAGCGUGGUACACUGGUAUGGACAUGGAUUUUAUAAGUUUGUUCUUCUUUUUCAUCUUUUUAUAUUCAGAUUUGCAUGUAUCCACAAAUCUGUGGGACGACUCACAGUUCUCAACUAUUUUUUUUAGGUGAAAAGUGGAAAAAGCAGCUUAGAGCAGAUAUCCAGAGUUUACGGAAAUCAGGCUGUGGUUGUAAGCAUUGAUCCUCGCAGAGUGUAUGUUAAAAAUCAAAAUGAUGUAAAGUUCAAGACUUUAAGAGUAACAAAUCCAGUUUAACCUAUAUUAUGUUUUUCUUAUGGUAUACUAACAUCUUCCGGUGGGCGGGAAGGCAGACCAAUUGGAGCGUAUGAGCUUGCGAUGGUAAAGUCACUUUUUGCACUCCUUAUGGUUGCAUAUGCAAAGCAUUUAUAUGAGAAGUGCAAAGAGAAAGUGGUCAUUACAUUUAAUGAAUGGCAUGUUAGGCUUCUGAUUGUCCUCCCACAUAUCUUUAGUUUAUCACUCAUCGCAGUUUGAGAUAAUGCCAAAAUGUUUGAAGUUAUCUAUAUGUGUUCGGGAAGGCAUUGCUAUGCCACAACAAUCAUGAAACAAGUUAUUUACAUGUGUUCGGGAAGUGGGCAGCGAAGACUCGGAAAGUAUACACCCAAGAUGAACUUGACGAGGUCCGCAUUGAAGUAGCUGACUAUUUGCAGACUUUGCUAUAGAUGCUGACUCUACCAAAGUGAUUUUGAGUAAGGCUAGCUAGAUUUUGUAGAAUCAUUUUGAAGUAGAACGUUGUACAGUUGCAGGUGAACUAAACUGCAUAUAGUUAUUGCAAUGGUCUAUUUUGGGCUAGCCUUGAUGUAGGUUGGGGUGUUUUUGCCUAUUUUUGAAACUAUUAACAAUUAUGCUGUUCGACAGAAAUUAAUGCAAUGCCCCAUAUUCAAUUAA